UGGGAUAGCUCAGUUGGUAGAGCAUGAGACUCUUGAUUUCAGGGUCAUGGGUUCGAGCCCUACAUGGGGCAAAA